UCCUAUUCAUCGUCCUGGCGACGAUUCUCUUGAUCUGGGCCAUCCUUCAGCCCACCAAACCUCGGUUCGUGUUGCAAGACGCCACCGUUUUUGCCUUCAACAUAACGGCGCCAAACUUUCUCACAUCCAACUUCCAGGUUACCAUCUCCUCUCGCAACCCAAACGAUAAAAUCGGUAUUUACUACGACCGACUGGAUAUUUACGCGACCUACCGCAACCAGCAGAUCACUCUGCGCACCGCUCUGCCGCCGGGCUACCAGGGCCACAAAGAGAUCGACGUCUGGUCACCCUUCGUUUAUGGAAACUCCGUCCCCAUCGCUCCUUACAAUUCCAUGAGCCUCAGCCAGGAUCAGAACG
rnacentral:lncRNA from 1 species